UAAGGAAUAUUGCUCAAUGGGAGAAAUCCUGAAGCAGCAACGCCGCGUGGAGGAUGAAGGGUCUAUGACUUGUAAACUCCUGUAAAGAAGGAAAAAAUUCCCAUUAGAUGGGAGAUGAUGGUACAUCUGGAGUAAGCCCCGGCUAACUACGUGCCAGCAGCCGCGGUAAUACGUAGGGGGCAAGCGUUGUCCGGAUUUACUGGGUGUAAAGGGUGCUCAGGCGGAUUUGUAAGUCAGAGGUGAAAUCUUACAGCUUAACUGUGAAACUGCCUUUGAUACUGCAAGCCUAGAGUAUGGAAGAGAGUGAUGUAAUAUCUGGUGUAGCAGUGAAAUGCGUAGAUAUCAGAUAGAACACCAAUGGCGAAGGCAGUCACUUGGUCCAUUACUGACGCUAAAGCACGAAAGCGUGGGUAGCA
rnacentral:rRNA from 1 species